CAACCACAGAACUGACACUUACUAGCAGUUCCCACUCACUACCAGUCAGUUGACUCACUGUACAAGACCUCUCCUCUUCACUUCACUCUAUGCAUGGACUGCAUGAUGUAAUCAUCCUGGCCUGGAGGCAGGAAGGGACAAAAUGCACAACGGACUGCAGGGUGGGAGAUGCAACAAUGGCCUUGAGAACAGCAGGAAGUGUGUUGGUGGUCUUUCUCUGGUCUGUAGCAGUGGUACUGGGUCAGUAUGGCUGGAGUGUUACAUACACCACUCAGAGUAUCUGUGUCUUGGAGGGGUCAACAGUGGAUCUGUCCUGCUCUAUCAGAUAUCCCAGUGGUACAGUCACAUCAACCGUCUGGUUCACUAAAUGGGGGACUGGUGUAGAACCUGAAGAUCUAGGUCAGGACCCAGAGUAUGCAGGUCGUCUGGAGUAUCAUGGGGAUAAGAAGAAUGGUCACAACCUGAGAAUCACAGACCUGAGAGAGAAAGACUCAGCUACGUACAAGUUCAGAUUUAUAACAGAUCAGACUGGAGGGAAAUAUACUGGUGAUCCUGGAGUCACUCUGUCUGUCACAGUGUCCAUCCUGACCCUAACGGUGACACACACACACCACUGAAAAUGAGGACCAGACAUUCUGGCUAGUGUGAGGUGCUCGCCCAGUGACACGUUCACUGCUCUUCAGAGAGACGCUCAGCCCUCCAUGUAUCAGACCAUCCAGGGGAGAAAACCACCACAGAACCUGGACUGAUAGAACCACCACAGAACCUGCACUGAAGAGAACCACCACAGAACUUGGACUGAAGACAACCACCACAGAACCUGGACUGAUAGAACCACAACAGAACCUGCACUGAAGAGAACCACCACAGAACCUGGACUGAAGAGAACCACCACAGAACCUGGACUGAUAGAACCACCACAGAACCUGGACUGAAGACAACCACCACAGAACCUGGACUGAAGAGAACCAUCACAGAACCUGGACUGAUAGAACCACCACAGAACCUGGACUGAAGAGAACCACCACAGAACCUGGACUGAAGACAACCACCACAGAACCUGGACUGAUAGAACCACCACAGAACCUGGACUGAUAGAACCACCACAGAACCUGGAGUGAUAGAACCACCACAGAACCUGGACUGAAGAGAACCACCACAGAACCUGGACUGAAGACAACCACCACAGAACCUGGACUGAUAGAACCACCACAGAACCUGGACUGAAGAGAACCACCACAGAACCUGGAUUGAAGACAACCACCACAGAAGCUGGACUGAUAGAACCACCACAGAAACUGGACUGAUAGAACCACCACAGAACCUGGACUGAAGACAACCACCACAGAACCUGGACUGAUAGAACCACCACAGAACCUGGACUGAUAGAACCACCACAGAACCUGGACUGAAGAGAACCACCACAGAACCUGGA